rnacentral:rRNA from 1 species
GUGGGGAAUAUUGGACAAUGGGCGCAAGCCUGAUCCAGCCAUGCCGCGUGAGUGAUGAAGGCCUUAGGGUUGUAAAGCUCUUUCACCGAUGAAGAUAAUGACGGUAGUCGGAGAAGAAGCCCCGGCUAACUUCGUGCCAGCAGCCGCGGUAAUACGAAGGGGGCUAGCGUUGUUCGGAUUUACUGGGCGUAAAGCGCACGUAGGCGGUUUGUUAAGUCAGGGGUGAAAUCCCGGAGCUCAACUCCGGAACUGCCUUUGAAACUGGCAAGCUAGAGUCCGGAAGAGGUAAGUGGAACUCCUAGUGUAGAGGUGGAAUUCGUAGAUAUUAGGAAGAACACCAGUGGCGAAGGCGGCUUACUGGUCCGGAACUGACGCUGAGGUGCGAAAGCGUGGGGAGCAAACAGGAUUAGAUACCCGUGUAGUCC